AUAUCAGUGACCUUAGGUUUACGCUGCUUGCAGAGCAGAAUUUCCAUUUGCACUAACACCCUUGUGAACACACGCUGAAGAAAAAGAGAACUGACCACAUCCUGCGCUCAAGCUCUACAAUGCCUCACUUCAUCAUUAAAUUAAUGAUCUUGGUGGCUUGGUUGUCUCAAGCUCAAGGUCGAGAAAUCCAUCCAGCAAGGAUUUAUGCAGUUAAAAACAGAGGCAAACUGGAGUUCACAUGCAGUACACAUGGGAUGAAGGAAACAUUCGAGAAGAACAGCAACUUAUAUAUUUACCUCUGUAGGAAUGGCACUGGCAUAGCCAUGAAAUCAGAUUGUCAAGAUGUUACAUUUAUUAUAGACGACAUUACAAAGGAUGAUACAGGAGACUACAGUUGUGUCUUUUCAUCGUAUAAGUAUGAUCCCGAGGAUGUAAGAGGAAAUGGCAUCAAUUCCAUCUUCAUUACUGUGAACGAUUCGUUCAUCCCGGCGGAGAUAGCCUCGCCGGAGACGAGUGUAAAAAUGGGAAGUGAUGUUGAUCUCCAGUGUACUUCUUUAAAAUUACCCGAGAGGAACCAGAAAGGCAACGUUUAUGCCUAUCUGUACAAGAACGGUUACACAGUGCAGAACGGCAAUGUAAUUCAGAUGAAUAUUUGGGACACAGUGAAGAACAAGGCAAGGUUUACUCUAAAAGAAGUCACGAUGCGAGACGCUGGAACGUACUUCUGUUUUCUGAUGUCAGAGCCAUGCCCUUUCCCUAAAGAAGUGCAUGGCAUCAAUGAAGUCAACCUUAACAUUACUGAAUAUGUUAAUGAAACUCUAAAGAUUACUGUUGGUUGUUCUUCUCUGCUGCUGCUGAUUAUUUUGCCUCUUGGACUUUGGGGAAUGUUUCAUAAGCAAGGUUGUUUUAAAUGCCACAGUGAAAGAUCUACCGAACAUAGGAAUGACUCAAGAGACACAGAGCUGGACCAAGGGUGUCCAAAAAGUCUCAGUACAUUGGGCACUACGUAUGCCAGCAUCCUGUCGGUUGUGCCAGCGGAUGUUCAUGGACGUCCUCGUCUCGGUUGGUACACAACACUUCCAGCCUUUAUGAAUUUGUUAAUAAGUUUGGCGACAGUGUCGUGUGUGAUGUGCUCUCCCUGUUUCCUGUUCAAGUCCAUCGCAACCUUGAGAUGGUUUCCCGAUCCAGCCAUGAGAAUGAUUUCAACAUGUAUUUCUUUUGUUAAAGGCAUUGUUAAAGGGUAUCUGAAAAAAAAUCUAUAUACAAUAUAAACUAAGUAGUAAAAAAUUUGGAGGACAUUUGGCUAAAAAGUGUUAAUUUCCUCUAUGUAUGGAGACUUUUGGGACACCCUUUACUGUCUUGAAAUGAUCAUUUUCUCACAUGAAUUUUUCACUAUUAACAGGUGAAAUGCAGAAUGAACAGAGGUAAACUUAUUUUUUUAUUUUUUUUAUUCUAAAUCUCAGUAGUUACGUCAAGAGAAACAAGGAAACUAGGCAAACCUAGUUUUGCCGGACUGCAGUGUCCCUGCUAUGGCUCGCUGCUUGCUAGCGAAGGAUAGCAAGGUUGAAAUUUGGCUAGAUAGUGUCCACAUGCAACAAUGGGACUCAAUCGACUGAUUGAGUCAGUCAGCUAGGUGGUCCAUUGUUCCUUGGACAUUCAGUUUGAAUGGAUCUUCGCUUCCUGAAGGUUCUACUUGAAACCCUUAUAAUAAGGAACCUAUAUGUUGUCAGGUUCUAAGCUGAACCUCAAAAGCAGGCGUUUCUGCUCUUAACCAAGUCCUGUAGCUGCAUUUGUUCAUUACUAUUAGUUGAUUGAAGAGGAAAAACAGUUGAGUGUAAAGAUCUGUACCCACGAUUUAUCUGGAAUGGAAAUGUGCAGCUGUACCGGGCCUUCGUGGGUAAAAUGUACGAUCCCUGCUUUAAGGGUUAUUCCAUAGGAACAAUCCAGAAAACUCUUAAGCGUUUUUACAUCUGACAUUUGUUUUCUAAGAGUCUAUGCCUACAGCUUUAUUGCGUGUAUUUAUUUUCAUAUAUUUCAGCUUUGGUACAGAAUGGGAAGAUUCUGAAGACAGUGCUAGUGCUUCACUUCAGGACAUUUAUCAGGUGUGUGAUGAUCCAUAGAAAAAUCAGAAGUGUGGCUGCAGGAAUACGGCUAGACCGGAAUCUCCAGUACUAUUCUAUACUCUAAACUAUUAUAAACUAGUCAAAUGAUACACAGCUCACUUUUCUUGGCAAUAUAGAUAUAAGCAAAACGUUAUACGGUAAUCUGUGGUAUUAUAACCCACAACUGUCUCACUGAUAUAAAAGAAUACCAGUUCAAAACAUCCACAGAAAAUGUGCCUAAUGUUUACUGGAUAACAAUUUUGUAUGGUCAACUACUUUUGUAAUUCUAAGGUGACGAUUUAACAAACGUUCCUAUUGUAUACGAACUAUUGCAUAGGAAGCAAUAGCAAGUGUUUUAAACUUUUAAACUAUAUUUCAUUAUUUAGGUCCUUUCUAUUUUCAUUUUAUUUAAAUAUGUAGGCUUAUAUAUGCUUAAGAGUAGCAUUUUCAUUCUAAAUAGGAUAAAUAUUUCUGGUUAAAGAAAUUUCAGAAGGAACAAAUGGUUAGAAUAAGACAAAAGGAAAGAAAAACUAAACACAACAUAGAAGGUGCUUUCUGAUGAAGAGAGAGUCUAAUUCUAAAAAGAUAAGAAUUGGGCACUUUUCAUUUAUUUGCUACUGAUGUAUGUCAACACGUUUCAUCAAAUGUACUGAGUAAGUGCUAUAUCAAGAGACUGACAAGUAAUUAAUUACAUCAGAUGACAGGAACAACUUUUCAGGCAAACAAACAUGACUUAUAGUAUAUAUAAAUAAAGGAAGGUAUUGAAGAAAAACUAUUUCAGGCAUUUGACCUUGCUGUGACCUUGACCGUAUUUGGCUCAAUCGCAAAAUCAAAUCAGUUCAUCCACCGGUAAAAAUUUCAUUUAAAUCCUAUGAACAUUUAAUCUCGUUCUUGAGAUCAUUUGUUGACGAGAAUCUCGGACACAGACCGACAGAUGGACAGACGGGUUGAUCGGUGGACAAACCCAAAAGCAUAUUGCCUUCACCACUUAGUUGUGGAGACAUCAUUAAAAAAAAAAAUCAUGAAAUCAGUUACAAGAAAGGAUUUUGGAUAGAUAGAUACAUUGUCCUGAAAAGAACAUUAGCAUCGUGGAAAAGCAGAUUUCCCAAAAAGAUGUAAUGUUUGAAACAUGGAUUUUUAAAAUAUAUAUUUUUAGAUUUAACCCAAAGACUAUACUGUUAGAAAAUUAGGAAAGGAUUUUUUUGGUGGUCCCUUUGAGGGAACCUUUAAAGGUUCUAUGUGCACUUGACUACAGUACAAUGUCAUUCGGGCGUUUUGAUAUUUUUUGGCUUAUGUCUCUGCAUCACUGUAUUAGUUUGAUUUUAUCUUUGUUUAUGUGGAUGUUGAACUGUUGUCUUUCAAAAUAAAU